GGAGAGCUGAGAAGAGCUGAGGAAACGG
rnacentral:piRNA from 1 species